rnacentral:lncRNA from 1 species
CCUGUUCUGAGUCAAAGCGGGUCCUGUGUUCUGUUGUGGCAGCAGCCCAGCCCAAGUCGGUGGGCCUGGGGCCUUCUCUUAGAAGGCAGAAGGUGGUACGUUUUCCGUGUUGAUCACUUUUGACGACUAAAGCUGAAAUGGGCUGAUGAGUGCCGGUCAACUUGAACCAGUCGUGUAAAGGGAGUUUCUUGUGCUGGGAAGCCUUCCUGGCCCCAAAUCACACCCACUGGAGUAUAGGACAGGCUAUUCUUAUUGGCAGAGACACACUGAUCCGGGACCCUGGCUGGGUAGAAAGGCAAAGAGGUGGCCCUUGCACUUGUCCUUAACCAGGCCUUUGGCAAUGGAGAUGACAGUCACGGGGGGAGGGGGUCAGCCAUGGCUGUUGGACAAUGUAGGAUCUGGUGAUGCUUAAGAUUCUUUUUCAGCAGAUUCCAGAAAGGACAAUGUAUGAAGAUUCUGGAUGCUGAUGAAUUGAAGUUUCUAAUUUUCAGAAAACAUGGAGUUUCCAUGUGAUUGGUCAGAGGCUGGGGCAUUGCCUAGAGAACAGGUGCUCCCACUUGAACUUAGCUCUCUGGACUUCUGACUGUUGUCUCAUUUCUCCCGGGAAAUCUUUUCUUUUGUUCUGUGGUGUUUUUUUUUUUAUAAAGUGAUCAUAGACACAUGUUGUAUAACCCAGUGUGGCUCUGAAUCUGAGUGACCUUUGUCUGUCUUUGGGUGCUAUGUGGUCAUAUUUAGCUUGUCUCUGGGGAGAUGCUCACCAAGACAAAUCUCACUGCAGCAAGGCCUUUGUUCAAUGGUAAACUUCUGCUCUCUAUUACAUAGGCCAGUUUGGUCAAAACUUGCAUUAAGUGGCUGAUUUAUGACCAUCUUAAUAUUGAUAGACAAAUGCUUCAAUUUAUCAUUGAUGUCUUGGGAAAGGACUAUCCAAGAACUUUCUUUUCACAUUGGCCAGUAUUUCCAUAGGCAUUUUCUUCAAACAUACAGGUAUCGUCCAUCAUAUAGGUUGUUUUAUGUAGGGCUUAAAUUAGAAAACCCUAAUAUACUUUAUAUCCAUUCCUGAAAUACUUCAUGAUAUAGGAAGGCAUGGAAAGGAAGGUCAUGAUGCUGGGCAAGUGGUUGUUGGAGAGUCUUGCCUGCAGGAACAAGCUGUUCUAUAGGCUGAUCAGGUGUCUUGCAGUGCCACUACCAACUAUGGCAUAAAUAAAUACCUUCUUGUAGCGUUCUGUCUGACCAUGCUCAGUUUGUCUAGCUGGAUGCUCAGAAAUAUAUCCAUCCUGUUGAGGCUGUUGUGAGAUGUAGCCUUGUAGGUGCUAUGUCUAUCCCAUACAGCACAGGGGCAAAGUGAGGCGGGUAUGGCUGUUUGGGGUCCUGCUUGGAAGAUCUUGAGAUUAUGGGAAAUGAGGUGAGAGGUCCACUCAUGGGAGUGGAUAACUCAGUCAUCUUGAAGAACCAGUCACCUGGCUUGUUGGAAAGAGCUUGUCUGAGUGACGGAUGAACCACUG